rnacentral:tRNA from 1 species
AGCNCCGUAGUGAAUGACACGUCAAAUUGCAAAUUUGAAAACGCCCCAACANUUUGGUGCCGGGGCUU